CAGGGAUUGCCCCAGUAGCGGCGAGUGAAGCGGCAAGAGCUCAGAUUUGAAAUCGUGUUUCGGCACGAGUUGUAGAGUGUAGGCGGGAGUCUCUGUGGAGCGCGGUGUCCAAGUCCCUUGGAACAGGGUGCCUGAGAGGGUGAGAGCCCCGUAGGGUGCUGCGCGAAGCUUUUGAGGCCCUGCUGACGAGUCGAGUUGUUUGGGAAUGCAGCUCCAAGCGGGUGGUAAAUUCCAUCUAAGGCUAAAUAUUGGCGAGAGACCGAUAGCGAACAAGUACUGUGAAGGAAAGAUGAAAAGCACUUUGAAAAGAGAGUGAAACAGCACGUGAAAUUGUUGAAAGGGAAGGGUAUUGGGCUCGACAUGGGGGGUGCGCACCGCUGUCUCUUGUAGGCGGCGCUCUGGGCGCCCUCUGGGCCAGCAUCGGUUCCUGCUGCGGGAGAAGGGGCUCCGGAAAGUGGCUCUUCGGAGUGUUAUAGCCGGGGCCAGAUGCCGCGUGUGGGGACCGAGGACUGCGGCUUCUGUCUCGGAUGCUGGCAUAACGGCGCAAUACCGC
rnacentral:rRNA from 1 species